rnacentral:rRNA from 1 species
UACAGAGGUCCCAAGCGUUGUUCGGAUUCACUGGGCGUAAAGGGUGCGUAGGCGGUCGGGUAAGUCUGAUGUGAAAUCUCACAGCUUAACUGUGAAACUGCAUUGGAUACUAUCCGGCUCGAGGAAUGGAGGGGAGACUGGAAUACUUGGUGUAGCAGUGAAAUGCGUAGAUAUCAAGUGGAACACCAGUGGCGAAGGCGAGUCUCUGGACAUUUCCCGACGCUGAGGCACGAAAGCUAGGGGAGCAAACAGG